GGGCCUGACCGUGCCUGAGUAAGCCCCAUGGGAACACAGCCGUGGUGGGAAGCAGCUUCCCAGCAGCCCUCCCCGCCAUCGGGAGAAUCCCCUGAGGCCAUGAGAGGGUCUCAGGGAGGUGGACGGCCCAUCAAGUGAGAACCGAGGGCACUGUGCACUCCUGAAUCCUAGGACUCCUCUUAGGUCAUUGACUAACAACAUCAACAAUGAAAUGAAUCUGAGAAAACAGGAAAUUGAGAGCAAGAGAAAAAAAAGUUAAUUAUACUGAUUUUGUAUAAGACCCCUUUGAACACAUUUUUAAAAAAUCAAAUAGAAGGUGCCCAGGUCCACUGUGCCUUGUGAAUAUUUGUCUUGUAUAUCCUAGAGAUCUACGCAUUCAUGUGGGAAUUGAAAAGGACCCACAUUUUACUAGAAGCAUCGUUCAUUUUUGCCUCAAAACAAUGCCCACAUGUCAGAAGAACUUUCACAAUUCACAGGAACAGUGACCUAAUUAACCAACCAUAAAAUUGCCAAAUCCCUACUUCUCAUUGUUUAAUAUGCUUAGAAAACCCAUUCAAAUUGUGAAUUAUCAAGUGAGCUUACACUGAUAAAUAGAUCCAAUAUUUAGGAAUUUUUAAAUCUUCCAUUCCUUUUUUUUUUUUGUCUUUUUAAAAAUAGAACAUUAGAAUAUGUCCUCCAGGUUUUAGAGAUGGGGGAGACAUGCUUCCCUUUAUUUCUCAGUAACUCAGCCAAAAAAAAUCUGGAGAGAAUGCAAAGACAGCUACUGGAAACUUUGAAAAGUAGAUGUGAGCCCAUCAGGGAAGAGCUAGAGAAUCUGAAAUCUACUCGAAAAAGUGAGUUUGAUACUUUGUGUUCCUAUCCUAACUCCACACAGCCUGAAACUUGGAAGUGAGCAUGAUGGAGUGGAUACAGUGAGAUGCAGAAGAAAUCCUCCAGUUUGGGCUGGAAGGGAAAAAAGAGACCCCUAAAACUCAGAGACAGUGGAAGAAAUUCCUGGUGUUUUUUUCUUCUCUUUUUCUCUGUUCUUCCACAUAGCAAUUUAGUAUUGACUACAGCAUCUCUGUUACAAUGAUAGCACCGAAAUGUUGUAACCAUAUGGCCUGCAAAGCCAAAAAUACUUAUCUGACCAUCUACAGGAAAAGUUUGCUGAUCUGGAUGAAAUAUUCUGAUACUAAAUAUUCCAUUUUGAGGCUGAUAUUCCUAAUCUAUUCAUAAGGAUGGCAUAUCUACCCAGUGGGCCUGCUGGGACUCCAGUUACCCGAUGCACAUACAUUGCUUGGUGUGGCAGUUUCGUGUGCAUUUUUGGUGAUGAUGCUCCACGGAACAUCUGCAGAUGUGCUGUCAAUUUGGACAGCUCUGACUACCGAGUGAAUGGGAAGUACUAACGAGAACUGUCUGCUUGGGAACUCCAUGAAGUUCGUGGCUUUUGUGAUUGAAAUAGCAUCAAUAAAAGGUUGACACUGUGGAACAACACAAGCCUGCAUGGACCUGGUUAUCUCUGACCUCGCACCACUCAUGAGACCAUACCUGAGCCCUACUCCACUUUGGCAGAACUGUUGCAUGGCCUCUCUUCAUAUAAUACCUCUCCGUACACCGUACACCGCAGCUCAAAGAAAGGAUAUAUGCUCCCUGUGAAGACUAAUGGAACUGUCCCUCCUGAUCCUCCUACAGACUUCCUCUGGCCUAAUGGGUGCACCAUUGCAUUAUAUCUGCCAUCUAUACACACAUAUACCUUUCAACCCUGCACUCUCUGAGAUGACUGGACUCAUGCCUAAAUAACUGAUGCUGUCCCUAGUGUAAGUUACGUAAGAUGAGCCUGCUUCCCCUUUGCCUUCCACAGUGAUUGUAUGUUUCCUGAGGCCUCCCCAGCCAUGCUUCCUACACAGCCUGAAGAACAGAGAGCCAAUUAAACCUCUUUUCUUUAUAAAUUACCCAGUCUCAGGUAGUUCUUUACAGAGGUGCAAGAACAGACUAAUACAGCUGUCCAUUUGAUCAUAAAAUAUCUCUCUUUUUUUUUUUUUUUU
rnacentral:lncRNA from 1 species